GGGCAGGGGGCAUAGUGGUUUUAGUGUUGGACUGUGACUCUGGAAACCAGGGUUUGAUUCCCUGCUUGGUCA
rnacentral:tRNA from 1 species